AUGCGCUCAGUCUUUGUUCUGGAGACAUGCGAGAAAAAUUGCUCUUGGUACUAUGGCGUUCCUAACAUCUUAGGGAUGACAUUGUGCAUAACAAAGGGCACUGGUCCAGACCCCAAGGCGAAGCUAAAUGUUGAUGCCUCCUUUGUAUCUGCUUUGGGAUCAGCUUGGGCAGGGGCAGUCGCCAGGGAUAGCACCGGCUCAGUUGUUUCCUUUGUAGGCCGUCACUUUCAUAUGUGUACUGAUGCAGAGGAAGUUGAAGCAAACGCUCUGCGUUUGGGACUCAAGUGUUUGCGGGAUAUAAACAAGGUUCAGGUACGAGUGGAAUCAGACUGUGCUGUUGUUGUUGCGGUUGUGAGUGCAGAAGAAAGAAACAAUACUAAGUGGUGGGCUACUUAUGAAGAAGCAAAGACUAUAAUGCGGGAGUUCAGUUCGUGCAUGAUGAGUAAAAUUGGAAGAGAGUGCAACGUGGCCCCACAUGAGAUAGCAGCUCAUGCUAGAGCUCAUGGAGAUUUUUAUAUAGUGCAGAAUGUCUUUCAUCCUUCCUCCCCUCACCCCUCCCAUUCUCUCCGGGAGCGCCGCCGCUUCCUCAUCCCCCAGACUCUCGCCUCUCGGCUCGGGAGGCGGAAGCGAAACCCCAAGGUGAGCCGGACCUCCGCUCUCCCCUUCCCCCCCAGCCCUCCUCGCUUCUCCGGUUGCUUGGCCUGCGCGUCGCUUCUCCGGCUGCUUAGCCUGCGCGUCGCUUCUCCGAAGUCCGUACUAAGCCGCUACCUAGUCGAUGGAUUGAUUGAUUUCCCCAGUUCAAGUCCCCUCGCUAGCCGGAUGCGCUCCAGUUCCCUUCGCUGGAUUCGUCGUCGUUCGUCUGUACUUUUACCUGUCCCCAAGCGCUUUAGAUCUGCUGUUUUGUUCGUCAUGCUUGCUUGUUCCGGGGACCGAUUUCGUUCUGACGCGAGUAGAUGCACCGACUGGUUUAUGUGCGGCCCCUAA
rnacentral:rRNA from 1 species